GGGAGUGUAGUUUAUGAUGAGAAUGUUGCUUUUGUAAAGCUUUGGUAUUGUUUGGUUGCUUCCU
rnacentral:tRNA from 1 species